AAGAGGGAACCCGGUGGGAAUCCGGGACUGCCCCGCAGCGGUGAGCGGGAACGACCGCCGUCAUACGCACUGGGCCCGGGAAGGGUCUGGGAAGCGACGGCCAGUAGGUGUCCGCCGGACGAGUCCGGUGGGCGUGCCCGCGAGUCCGAAGACCU
rnacentral:ncRNA from 2 species